UUGAAAUACCAUUUCUUGUUCAAUCACCAAAGUUAAGCAACGUCUAGCCUGGUUAGUACCUAGAUGGGUGACUGCUUGGGAAUACCAGGCGGCGUA